rnacentral:rRNA from 1 species
CCUACGGGGGGCAGCAGUGGGGAAUUUUGCGCAAUGCUCGUAAGAGUGACGCAGCGACGCCGCGUGAAUGACGAAGGCCUUCGGGUCGUACAGUUCUUUCGACAGGGAAGAACAUGUGUAUAAGUAACUGUGCAUGUAUUGACGGUACCUGUUUAAGCAGCCCCGGCUAACUCCGUGCCAGCAGCCGCGGUAAUACGGAGGGGGCGAGCGUUGUCCGGAGUGACUGGGCGUAAAGAGCACGUAGGCGGUGUUGUAAGUCAUUAGUCAAAGACUAGAGCUCAACUUUAGUAGGGCUAGGGAUACUAUAAUACUAGAGUAUCAGAGAGGAUUGCAGAAUUCCAGGUGUAGCGGUGAAAUGCGUAGAUAUCAGGAGGAAUACCGUUAGCGAAGGCGACAAUCUGGCUGGAAACUGACGCUGAGGUGCGAAAGCGUGGGUAGCAAACAGGAUUAGAUACCCGUGUAGUC